CUGAGAGGGUGAUCGGCCACACUGGGACUGAGACACGGCCCAGACUCCUACGGGAGGCAGCAGUAGGGAAUCUUCCGCAAUGGACGAAAGUCUGACGGAGCAACGCCGCGUGAGUGAUGAAGGUUUUCGGAUCGUAAAGCUCUGUUGUUAGGGAAGAACAAGUACCGUUCGAAUAGGGCGGUACCUUGACGGUACCUAACCAGAAAGCCACGGCUAACUACGUGCCAGCAGCCGCGGUAAUACGUAGGUGGCAAGCGUUGUCCGGAAUUAUUGGGCGUAAAGGGCUCGCAGGCGGUUUCUUAAGUCUGAUGUGAAAGCCCCCGGCUCAACCGGGGAGGGUCAUUGGAAACUGGGGAACUUGAGUGCAGAAGAGGAGAGUGGAAUUCCACGUGUAGCGGUGAAAUGCGUAGAGAUGUGGAGGAACACCAGUGGCGAAGGC
rnacentral:rRNA from 1 species